rnacentral:rRNA from 1 species
GGGGAAUAUUGCACAAUGGGCGAAAGCCUGAUGCAGCAACGCCGCGUGCGGGAUGACGGCCUUCGGGUUGUAAACCGCUUUCAGCAGGGACGAAGGGUUUCUGACGGUACCUGCAGAAGAAGCACCGGCUAACUACGUGCCAGCAGCCGCGGUGAUACGUAGGGUGCGAGCGUUGUCCGGAAUUAUUGGGCGUAAAGAGCUUGUAGGCGGUUCGUUGCGUCGGAAGUGAAAACUCAGGGCUUAACCCUGAGCCUGCUUUCGAUACGGGCGGACUUGAGGGAUGUAGGGGAGAACGGAAUUCCUGGUGGAGCGGUGGAAUGCGCAGAUAUCAGGAGGAACACCAGUGGCGAAGGCGGUUCUCUGGACAUUUCCUGACGCUGAGAAGCGAAAGCGUGGGGAGCAAAC